rfam:Salmo salar isolate Sally breed double haploid chromosome ssa07, whole genome shotgun sequence.
CCCCGUGUGGCUCAGUUGGUAGAGCAUGGUGUUUGCAACGCCAGGGUUGUGGGUUCGAUUCCCACAGGGGA